rnacentral:rRNA from 1 species
CAGUAGCCACGGUAACACGGAGGGGGCUAGCGUUGUUCGGAAUUACUGGGCGUAAAGCGCACGUAGGCGGCUUUGUAAGUUAGAGGUGAAAGCCUGGAGCUCAACUCCAGAAUUGCCUUUAAGACUGCAUCGCUUGAAUCGCGGAGAGGUGAGUGGAAUUCCGAGUGUAGAGGUGAAAUUCGUAGAUAUUCGGAAGAACACCAGUGGCGAAGGCGGCUCACUGGACGCGUAUUGACGCUGAGGUGCGAAAGCGUGGGGAGCAAACGGGAUUAGAUACCCCCGUAGUCCCUGUCUCUUAUAC